AGGACUUAUGGGUGCUGAGCCUCAGACACUUUUAGCGGAGAAAAAUAAUAAUAAUAAUUAAAGCCGCAAGCGGCGUUGGAAGGGGUCCAAGCAGUGGCAGCAUCGCGCCCCCUAUGGAGCGAUUUUAAAAAGGCUUUGUCCUCACGAUCAUAUGCCUUCACCCAACAUAUCUACUGAAUAUCAUGAUGAUCGUAUGAUAUAUUGAUGACUUAUGGCCAAUUUUGAGCUAAGAGACGCUGUCGGAUGACUUAGUUACGUCGCCAUGGAUGUGUCCUGACAGCUUCCCGUUGAUAGGUUCCCUGUUUUAGGUACAUGUAUUACUAUAUAUAUAUUAGGCUGUAUGUAGUGUAUUGUGUUUCCCUUUCUGCCAUCACUGUGUCUGUAGUUUGUAUGCCUGUAUGUCUAGCACCUCUGUAGUGUGUCUCCGUAUAACACCUCUAGUGUCUGCGGCAAGGAGGUCACAUUCCUAUGCUAAAUGGCUGCGAGGGUCCACAGGAAGGGACAAGACCAUUUGUCUCCGGUCCGCCACUUAACUCAACCUUUUGAUGUGUAUGAAGGAAAACUGUAUAUCUAGACACCACACAGUGUGAUGGGCAGAGAUUCUCUCAGCGCAGCGCCCGAGUGUGCUGGGUCUGUCUCUCCCUUGCGCAUUGAAUUAAACCACAAAUCCUCUGAGGAAACUUUGUCAGCGUGUUCUUCAUCGUCCUGCAUUUGACUCCACGAAUAAGGGCAAAAAUAUCCUAACAGUUUUGGCAACCACGAAGGGACAGGAAAUAUCUUCCACUUGAAACAACGAGAAUCAACAAGAAGGUGAGUAUCUUUUAUUAAACACAACUUACCACCUUCAUUAGGCGUUGAUUUUCCUUGGUGCAAUUUGGAAGUGACUCCUGUUCUGUAUUUUAAGAAAUAGUUACGUGGACGGGACUUUGAUGUAACAACUGAUAAUGAGUUUGUCUUUUAAUGUUGACGUCAUUUUAAUGUGGUAGUGCUAGCAGUAUUAACAGAGUACGCGGGAGCGUCAAUCUGUUCAGUAACGUCUGCGUGCUGAAGUAGAGCACGGCAGCGUUCCGGACCACGUCGGGUCCUCGACGCUGAGAAACGCGUCGGUAGUAACGUGUGUCGGUAUUUGACAGAAGGACACGUUUCGAGCCACGUCGGGCUCACGGGCGAAGUAGCGUCCACUUUCCUUAGUAACGUCUGCGUGCUGGGUGAAGUCACGUAACGUUCCGGACCACGUCGGGUCCUCGACGCUGAGAAACGCGUCGGUAGUAACGUGUGUCGGUAUUUGACAGAAGGACACGUUUCGAGCCACGUCGGGCUCACGGGCGAAGUAGCGUCCACCUUCCUUAAAACAGUAACGUGUGUCGGUAUUUGGCAGAAGGACACAUUUCGAGCCACGUCGGGCUCACGGGCGAAGUAGCGUCCACCUUCCUUAAAACAGUAACGUGUGUCGGUAUUUGGCAAAAGGACACGUUUCGAGCCACGUCGGGCUCACGGGCGAAGUAGCGUCCACCUUCCUUAAAACAGUAACGUGUGUCGGUAUUUGGCAGAAGGACACGUUUCGAGCCACGUCGGGCUCACGGGCGAAGUAGCGUCCACCUUCCUUAAAACAGUAACGUGUGUCGGUAUUUGGCAGAAGGACACGUUUCGAGCCACGUCAGGCUCACGGGCGAAGUAGCGUCCACCUUCCUUAAAACAGUAACGUGUGUCGGUAUUUGGCAGAAGGACACGUUUCGAGCCACGUCGGGCUCACGGGCGAAGUAGCGUCCACCUUCCUUAACAGUAACGUGUGAUAUUUCCUGUGUGUGUCGUUUUGGGUCAGAGCACAUCAGACGAGGGAGCGUCUGUGUAAUAAUUUGUUGGACAAGUUUUGGUGUUGCUGAUUGCUGUUAGUAGCCUAAGUGUUUCGGAGUAACACUGCAAAUUGUGAAAAAACUGGGCUGCGUGCCAAAGUGUGUGCAAGAAGAGAACCUUGGUUGUUUACCAAUGCGAGUGAAUGCGAGAAAGUGCACUCAAUGUUGUUUUGUUCGGAGCUCCAUCAGUGUUGUCAUGUCUACAGAAUAACGUAUUGUUGUGUUAGGCCUACGUGAUAUGUUUGUUAUAUGUGUACACAAUAUAGUAUAUAUAACCCAUAUAAUAUAAGAGUAAAAGCGCAUAUUUUCCUUUCGUGUAGUUAACGGCUCAUAAUAGCUAAUCUGCGUAAUUCUGAAGGGCUACCAACUACGGGAAUGAUGACGGAGAAAGAAGUUUUAUGCGGGGAUCUAAUGGCAGCGGCAUUAAAGCUAUGGUUAAAAGAUAUGGAAAGCAAUGAGAACUAAUCCCCCAUUCCCUAGCAAAAAUGACUCCGGUGUAAUUUCAGAGAAGGCACUGAACGUAUGGUGGUCCCAACAGAAAAACAAUAAAGAGAAAGGUAAAUAUGCAGCAAUGUGUGUUAGCUGAUGUAAUUAAUAGCCUCCCUGAAAUUAAAUCAUGUGUGUGCCAAUAUGUCGAUGAUUUAUUAAUUUCGUACAAAAUACGGACACGCAUUGCAGAGACUUAGAUGUUAUUUUAAAACAUCUGGCAAAACAUGGUGUGAAGUGUAACCCACGCAAAGCACAGAUCGCACAAACAGAAGUCGUUUAUCUAGGGUAUAUGGUUUCACAGGGGUGUAAGAGAAUGACCACAAACCGAAUUGAAGCCAUAACAGAGUGGCGGCGACCUACUACAGUACGAGCGCUACGCAAAAUACUUGGUAUUUUUAAUUAUUGUCGGACCCAUAUACCCAACUACUCAACAAUUGUUCAACCGAUAAACGACCUCUUAAAGGGAGCGGGGGGUCCACAUGACGGGAUAGAAUGGUCGUUUGAGUGUGAGACGGCUUUUUCCAUUUUAAAACAAAAAAACUUCGCACUUCGCUCCCCAACCCACUUGUGCCUUUCACACUAUAUACUCAUGUAAAUACAGGACACAUGGCGGCGGUGCUUACACAAAAGCAUGGGGACAGACAAAGGCCGGUUGCAUAUUUCUCCUCUAAAUUAGAUGUGGUUGUAAAAGCGAUGCCGGAAUGUUUACAAGCUGUUGAAGCUGCCUCCAUUGCCUUAAAUCAAGCGUUGCCGUUAAUUAGCACACAGGAAAUUGAUGUUGUAGUCCCUCAUUCUGUUCUGUCUAUUUUGUCAAGAAAAAGGUUGACAGCAGUACACGUGGCUCGAUGGACUCGAUGGGAAACACGUCUUCGGAUGCCAUCAGUACAUUUAAAACAUAUAACUACUUUGAACCCAGCUACCCUAUUCCCAAAUCCUGAUGAGGGACAACCUCAUCACUGUUGUGAUGUAGGGGAAAGAAAUAUGUGCUGGUGCUCAUUGAUCAUUUUACUAAAUGGGUAGAAGCAUUUCCAACAGCGCACAACACAGCAACUGACGUAGCCAAAGUGCUAUUAACCGAAAUAAUUCCAAGAUGGGGUUUGCCAUGUGCUAUUGACAGUGAUCAAGGUACUCACUUUACAGGAAAAAUCAUUAAAACAGUAUGCCGAGCACUGGGGAUUAAACAAAAGUUUCACUGCCCUUUUCAUCCCCAAAGCUCCGGUCUGGUGGAACGUGCGAACCGCAGCUUAAAAAACAAACUAACCAAACAGUUGUUUGCAGGCACUGGAGAAGACUGGGUUUCACACUUACCGGCUGUCCUUCUUUCCCUAAGAGCAGGCCCCACUAAUCCUGAAUCACUCUCUCCUUUUGAAAUGCUAACAGGUAGACCCAUGAGGACUCCCGGGGAUUUGUGUAUUGCAGGAGGAGAAUUGCAUGUGAUGGGAGAUAGGUUGCUGGAAUAUUGUAAGCUUUUGUCUCAGUGUGUACCACAGGACCCACGGACAAAACCGGAUCCAGUGACAGACCUGGAGGAGAGCCCCGCAGUCCAACCCGGAGACCAAGUCCUGGUGAAGUCCUUCCAGAAAAAGACAUUCGGCCCUCACUGGACUGGACAACAUACUGUGUUACUCACCACCCCAUCAGCUGCCCGCUUGACCGGAAUACCAACAUGGAUUCACCUGACUCGUCUGAGAAAGUACACGAGUCCAACACAACAUGAAGCGCAGCUCAAUCCUUCUUCCCCACAAAGUACUGGGAAGCCGGUUUGUGUUAACACACCUUAAGGCAGAAAGAUAUGCGGAUCCGCAGUUCUCAAAUGUGCACCAACGCGAGUGGAUACAUCUGGACUUGGGACCAUACUUUUAAUCAAACUGGAUGGGGAUCUUUCCAAUGCAACAAGGACAUAUGGAGAGUUGUAAACUGUCAAUUGUGGGGUUUGAAAAACCCAGGAAAACUUCUGGACAAUCUUUAAAUUGUGAGAAAUUGAUUCUCUCACCAGAACUGUACACAGGCCAACCCGAGGAGGAUGGGUCCCCCCUGCUGAGCCUUGGUUCCUCCCAAGGUUUCUCCCCUUUACUCUAGGGGAGUUUUUCCUUGCCACUGUUGCCAUGUGCUUGCUCACUGGGGGUAAAGGCCUGAAUAGGUUAUGGGGAAUAUGGCAUUUAGCACCAUAUUCCCAAAUACAAAAUGGGGGACUGAUAGGUUCCCUGUUUUAGGUACAUGUAUUACUAUAUAUAUAUUAGGCUGUAUGUAGUGUAUUGUGUUUCCCUCUCUGCCAUCACUGUGUCUGUAGUUUGUAUGCCUGUAUGUCUAGCACCUCUGUAGUGUGUCUCCGUAUAACACCUCUAGUGUCUGCGGCAAGGAGGUCACAUUCCUAUGCUAAAUGGCUGCGAGGGUCCACAGGAAGGGACAAGACCAUUUGUCUCCGGUCCGCCACUUAACUCAACCUUUUGAUGUGUAUGAAGGAAAACUGUAUAUCUAGACACCACACAGUGUGAUGGGCAGAGAUUCUCUCAGCGCAGCGCCCGAGUGUGCUGGGUCUGUCUCUCCCUUGCGCAUUGAAUUAAACCACAAAUCCUCUGAGGAAA